rnacentral:rRNA from 1 species
GAUGAACGCUGGCGGCGUGCCUAAUACAUGCAAGUCGAGCGAACGGACGAGAAGCUUGCUUUUCUGAUGUUAGCGGCGGACGGGUGAGUAACACGUGGAUAACCUACCUAUAAGACUGGGAUAACUUCGGGAAACCGGAGCUAAUACCAGAUAAUAUUUUGAACCGCAUGGUUCAAAAGUGAAAGACGGUCUUGCUGUCACUUAUAGAUGGAUCCGCGCUGCAUUAGCUAGUUGGUAAGGUAACGGCUUACCAAGGCAACGAUGCAUAGCCGACCUGAGAGGGUGAUCGGCCACACUGGAAGUGAGACACGGUCCAGACUCCUACGGGAGGCAGCAGUAGGGAAUCUUCCGCAAUGGGCGAAAGCCUGACGGAGCAACGCCGAGUGAGUGAUGAAGGUCUUCGGAUCGUAAAACUCUGUUAUUAGGGAAGAACAGAUGUGUAAGUAACUGUGCACAUCUUGACGGUACCUAAUCAGAAAGCCACGGCUAACUACGUG